rnacentral:rRNA from 1 species
CCUACGGGGGGCAGCAGUGGGGAAUAUUGGACAAUGGGCGAAAGCCUGAUCCAGCCAUGCCGCGUGUGUGAAGAAGGCCUUCGGGUUGUAAAGCACUUUCAGUGGGGAAGAAAGCCUUGGGGCUAAUACCCUCGAGGAAGGACAUCACCCACAGAAGAAGCACCGGCUAACUCCGGGCCAGCAGCCGCGGUAAUACGGAGGGUGCGAGCGUUAAUCGGAAUUACUGGGCGUAAAGCGCGCGUAGGCGGUCUGAUAAGCCGGUUGUGAAAGCCCCGGGCUCAACCUGGGAACGGCAUCCGGAACUGUCAGGCUAGAGUGCAGGAGAGGAAGGUAGAAUUCCCGGUGUAGCGGUGAAAUGCGUAGAGAUCGGGAGGAAUACCAGUGGCGAAGGCGGCCUUCUGGACUGACACUGACGCUGAGGUGCGAAAGCGUGGGUAGCAAACAGGAUUAGAUACCCCAGUAGUC